AGUGAACGCUGGCGGUAGGCCUAACACAUGCAAGUCGAACGGCAGCACAGUAAGAGCUUGCUCUUACGGGUGGCGAGUGGCGGACGGGUGAGGAAUACAUCGGAAUCUACUUUUUCGUGGGGGAUAACGUAGGGAAACUUACGCUAAUACCGCAUACGACCUACGGGUGAAAGCAGGGGAUCUUCGGACCUUGCGCGAUUGAAUGAGCCGAUGUCGGAUUAGCUAGUUGGCGGGGUAAAGGCCCACCAAGGCGACGAUCCGUAGCUGGUCUGAGAGGAUGAUAAGCAAAACUGGAAGUGAGAAACGGUCCAGACUCCUAGGGGAGGCAGAAGUGGGGAAAAUUGGAAAAGGGGCGAAAGCCUGAUCAAGCCAUACCGCGUGGGUGAAGAAGGCCUUCGGGUUGUAAAGCCCUUUGUUGGGAAAGAAAAGCAGCAGGUUAAUACCCCGCUGUUCUGACGGUACCCAAAGAAUAAGCACCGGCUAACUUCGUG
rnacentral:rRNA from 1 species